GAUGAACGCUGGCGGCGUGCCUAAUACAUGCAAGUCGAGCGAACAGACGAGGAGCUUGCUCCUUUGACGUUAGCGGCGGACGGGUGAGUAACACGUAGGUAACCUACCUAUAAGACUGGGAUAACUUCGGGAAACCGGAGCUAAUACCGGAUAAUAUUUCGAACCGCAUGGUUCGAUAGUGAAAGAUGGCUUUGCUAUCACUUAUAGAUGGACCUGCGCCGUAUUAGCUAGUUGGUAAGGUAACGGCUUACCAAGGCAACGAUACGUAGCCGACCUGAGAGGGUGAUCGGCCACACUGGAACUUAGGCACGGUCCAGACUCCUACGGGAGGCAGCAGUAGGGACUGUUCCGCAAUGGGCGAAAGCCUGACGGAGCAACGCCGCGUGAGUGCUGAAGGUCUUCGGAUCGUAGAACUCUGUUAUUAGGUAAGAACGAGCGUGUAAGUAACUGGGCACGUCUGGACGGUAGCGAAUCAGAAAGCCACGGCUAACUACGUG
rnacentral:rRNA from 1 species